CAGCAGCCACGGUAAUACGGAGGAUCCAAGCGUUAUCCGGAAUCAUUGGGUUUAAAGGGUCCGUAGGCGGUAUUGUAAGUCAGUGGUGAAAGCCCAUCGCUCAACGGUGGAACGGCCAUUGAUACUGCAGGACUUGAAUUAUUGGGAAGUAACUAGAAUAUGUAGUGUAGCGGUGAAAUGCUUAGAGAUUACAUGGAAUACCAAUUGCGAAGGCAGGUUACUACCAAUUGAUUGACGCUGAUGGACGAAAGCGUGGGUAGCGAACAGGAUUAGAUACCCCCGUAGUCCCUGUCUCUUAUAC
rnacentral:rRNA from 1 species